rnacentral:rRNA from 1 species
GGGUUGUGAGGUUAAGCGACUAAGCGUACACGGUGGAUGCCCUGGCAGUCAGAGGCGAUGAAGGACGUGCUAAUCUGCGAUAAGCGUCGGUAAGGUGAUAUGAACCGUUAUAACCGGCGAUUUCCGAAUGGGGAAACCCAGUGUGAUUCGUCACACUAUCAUUAACUGAAUCCAUAGGUUAAUGAGGCGAACCGGGGGAACUGAAACAUCUAAGUACCCCGAGGAAAAGAAAUCAACCGAGAUUCCCCCAGUAGCGGCGAG